GAAAGGAAAGCAGUAUAAUAUACAGCUAAUCAUCUAUUUCACCCUUUUGUCAUUACUGCUUCUGUCGAUGCUGUUGGGGCUAAAGACAGAGAACAGUCACAUUAUCUUCUGGUUUCAUGGAACGAGGCAGGCAGCCUAAUUGGAGAACAAGCCUUCUGAAAGGAAAGUGUUAACAAGCCUAAUUGUCAGCACCAGUCUGAUUAACUCCAAGGUGAAGUAUUAUAAACCAGAAGCAGAGAAAGAACCAGGAGAAAGUGCAAAUAAAUGUUUAAAUAAGACUGGGAGGAUGAGGAAGAAGGUUGGUCCCUCUGAAUACUUACCAGAGUUGGAGCCCCAGGGACACACCCCAGAAGAGAGGACUGAGAAAUAUGCCCAGUCACAGUGGUGAUGACAGAGCCUCUCAUGGCAUCCAGUUGUAUAUCAACGAGCAAGAACAGAAUGGAUUGACUCUAUAGCAUUUUCUUUCAGACUUGGAUUUUAAAUCUUCCCAAUUAUUCUUGUUUAAGUUUGAUGCCUAGUGUAAAUGAAUCACUGAAUUGAAACCUUAGAAUUAAAGAAAAAAAAAUCUGAAGAGUAAA